AUGGAAGGGUUACCCUACAUCUCCUAGGUUGCCUCGCAGUGAGAUGUGGCCAGUGCUCUCCAAGGGAAUGCCCAGAGUGACCUUGGAAGCCAUGUGUUGAGAAGAGCAGAGCCCCCAUUGGCUUGUGUCUCUGAGACUUCCUCCACCACUGGGACCUGUGACAUCCAGCCUCAACCACUCAAGAACAAGAAAUACACUUGGUGAGUCACCAACGAAGUACUGAAGUCAAAAUGUGUUUCUGGGACGAGUGAGCAGGGUGGAUGGAGGAGCCGCUCGAUCUUAAUGACAGCAACAGCAGCCAGCGGUCAGGCACUUUCAUUGUGACAGCACUAUGUAUGUGUCUUUUUUAUUUAAUCCUCGCUAUGACCUCAAGAAGUAGGUGCUCUUACUAGCCUUACUCCACAGAUAAGCA